CCGAGUUAUCAACUCCCAAACCCCAAUGUGAACAUACCCAUUGUUGCUUCGGCGGAACGCCCCGGCGCCCUCGCGGCCCGGACCCAGGCGCCCGCCGGAGGCCCCAAACUCUUGUUUCCCCAGCGGCAUCUCCUCUGAGUGGCAUAAACAAUGAAUAA
rnacentral:misc_RNA from 1 species